rnacentral:SRP_RNA from 1 species
GCUGGGUGUGGUGGUGCACGCCUGUAAUCCCAGCAACUUGGGAGGCUGAGGCAGGAGAAUUGCUUGAACCUGGGAGGUGGAGGUUGCAGUGAGCCGAGAUUGUGCCACUGCACUCCAGCCUGGGCGACAGAGCAAGACUCCGCCUCAA